UACGUAGGGUGCAAGCGUUGUCCGGAAUUAUUGGGCGUAAAGAGCUCGUAGGCGGUCUGUCGCGUCGGCUGUGAAAACCCGCGGCUCAACCGCGGGCCUGCAGCCGAUACGGGCAGGCUAGAGUUCGGUAGGGGAGACUGGAAUUCCUGGUGUAGCGGUGAAAUGCGCAGAUAUCAGGAGGAACACCGGUGGCGAAGGCGGGUCUCUGGGCCGAAACUGACGCUGAGGAGCGAAAGUGUGGGGAGCGAACAGG
rnacentral:rRNA from 1 species